GGUUUGGGUGUGGCCGCCAGGAAGAGGAUAGGCCUUGCCGCAGGUGGGUGUAGUGAAAGGCUCCGCUGCGACUGAGGAUUCUGCAGUUCCAAAUGAGCUGAAACACUGAAGUUAUGAGAUUAACAUGAUGAGAAGAGGGAUGAUGAAGAGGCAGCUGAAGGUGAAAAAGUUAUAAAAGGCCUGAUGCCACCAUUGUGGAAAACUGCAGUGUGUGACACAUUGAGAGAAACCAUCCGUCUGCCCAGAGCUGUCUGCUAAGUGGAUCAUCCGGAAGAUGUAUAACUGUAUGAGAAAAGAAAACAAUUAAAAGAUGGUGUUACUUUCUUUCAAACAGUAUUUGCAUGUUUUCUUGAAAGCUUUUUCCUUCUGUAUUCUCCAGGUCUUCUAACACGUUGUUGCCCAAAGCAAUGACUAAGCUCCUUGAUGUAAUCCUUUUGUCACCUCAGUGAGAAGCUGUAAAGUGUAUCUUCACUUAAAAUAUGUUUGGGUAAUGUGAAUGGAUCUAUAGGAUUUUGGAUUUUUUGGAAACUAUUUGAACCUAGCAGAAUGAUCAGCAACCAGGGAUUUAAACAUUGUUGUAUUUCAAUUUCAGUUGCAAUUAUGCUGAGUAAACCUUUUGGAAGUGAUUUUGUCCAUCAUAACUGUAGCAGCUAAAGCUGUAUCUAGCAGUUAGAAUGUGCUCCCCAAAUACAUACUUAAAUUUUAUUUUUUGAAACAGAAAACCCCAUUCAAAUGGUCAAAGACAUGAAUAGACCAUUUACAAAAGAUGUAACAGUGGCCCUUAAACACGUGAAAAGAUGUUCAACCUCACUUGUGUGAAGAAAAAUGCCUAUUAAGGCUACAGUGACAUGGCAUUUUUCACUAUAAGGAUUGGCAAAAAUUAAAAAUAACAUACUUUCAUGGGCAAGUUGUAAGAAAAUAUAGACUCUCCCACAUUGCUAGUAGGAAUGCAAAUUGGCACAACCACUAGGGAGAAGAAUUUAGCAAUAGCUAGCAUAACUAUAUCUGAAUUUACCUUUGACCCAGCAAUCUGAAUCCAGGAUUUUACCCUGAAGAUACACUCCCACCUCUGUUAUAUGAAAAUACAUAGGCAGAAAGUUAUUCAUUGAUGCUUUGUUUGUAAUUGAAAAAACAUUAAAAAUAACAUAAAUACCAAUUCAUGGAACAGUAGUUGAAUAAACUGUGGUGGACCACACAACAGAGUGCUAUACAGCUGCAAAAAAAGAGUAAGGAAAAUCUCUGUAUAUUUAUGUGCAUGUGUGUGUGUGUGUGUAUUUAUUUUCUAGCUCUGUCUUCUGGGAGCCUAGGAAAAAUGAUAUCCCAGUAGCAAUAAGCACAUCCAGCACUCGAGUACCCAGAUCUUGUUUUCUAAAUACCAUUCUCUACCAAAAGGAACCAGACAGAGUUUAUUGGAGAGGUGAGUGAGCCCAAGGCUGACAAGCAAACUGCAAUAUGUGCUUGGAACAGUUUGUGCCAAAAAGCCAAGAAGUACUAAAAGAAUAAUGGAGCAUGUCAAAAAGAGCUCUGGAGCCAGCUUGAAAGUACUCCCAUUGGUCAAAUCUGGGACAGUUUAAGCAUUGAAAACAAAACCAAAAAUAAGUAAACCAAAAAAAACCCAAAACAACAACAACAAAAACCCUGAUAAAAGGAAUGAUUAACAAUAAAAUGAAGAAUCCAUGAAUUCUUGCUGAUAGUAAUUACAAAAGACUGACUACAAAUAAAUGGGGAGGGGAAAAAAGCUCUUUGUUACUGUAGAAAGCCAAAUAAUAAAUGUAUAAGGAAUAAUGAAAGUAGUGAUUACCAAAUGGUAAUAAUAAGUGAUUCAGGCAAGCAUCAUCAAUGGAUGGUAAAAACAUGGAUGAAAUUUGAAGAAAGCAGGGUAUUAACAUCAUCUUGAAGUAUUUACCUGCAAGACAGCUUUUCUUAUAAAGAGUAAAAUUAAUAACUUUACAGUAGAUAACCAAAUAAUUAAAUUAACAUAGCCAAUAAUGGGACCAACUGACAACAUCUGCUUCCUUAUAUAAUGCAUUGACAGGUACUAACCAUCACUUCUUUGCUAUCUUGGAUUAUAACCUUGGAUUCUUUUUUGUUAAAAGGAACAUUUUUGGGACAGUUGCUCAGGUAUGAAUAAGUUAUAUAGAUUAGAAUAGUAUUUUUUCAGUGUUAAUUUCCUGAUUUACCCACAUACUGUGGGUAUGUGCCAGAAAAAACAAAACAAAACAAAACAAAAAAACAACACUGAAGUAUCAAAAGGGACAUCAUAUCUGAAUUUACUUUUAAACAAUUUAGAAAAAAUUUAUAGGAAACAAAGCAAAUAAGUAAUGUAGUAAAAUGUUAAUAUUUGGGGAAACUGAGGGAAAGAUAUUCCAGAAAACUGUAUGAUACUUGCAACCUUUCUCUAAGUGUGAAAUUAUUUUGUUGUUGUUUUUAAAACACAAAUGAAUCAACCAUUUAAGAAACGUUGCAAAGAUGACAGAGUAGUAGGGGGACCCUAUGCUUGCCUCAUUCCUUGAACACAGCCAGAUAAAUAUAAAAUCAUUCUGAACACGCAAGUAAUUGGUCUGAGGACUGAGAGACAAUCUGCACAUCUAGAGGGAGAAAAAUGGCCACAUAGUGGAAGAUAGAAACUGUGGAGAGUUGUUGGGGCAGAAAUGAAUUGUAGGUGUUGUAGAGGGGAGGGAGCCCUGAUCACAGAGACAGGGGAGAGAGAGAAAGCAGCAUACAGGGGAUUGCACAAGAAAAACACUUCCCCAAAAGCAUUCACUGGGAAAAUGAAAGGAGCUGAUUAUUGUAAGUUUUUACAAGCAGCAGAACUCAAAGUCUGAAGUUUUAGAAGUCUGCACCAUUGCUGGAAUCAUGCCUGGCAGGCUUAGCGAUGCUCCUGUGGGGAAGGAGGACAGAGGCCCAGGAGCAGACAGUGUGCUCUGAGGAUCCUUUGGGUUGCACUGAAAAAGACAUUUCCCCUUAUUGGAGUGUAUUUGGGAGAGGUGGCACUGCCUCUCGGAGGACAAAAGAAAUGGUGGCACCAUUGAGAGGUCCCAUUAAUUAGCAUAGCAGCAGAGGCACCUGCUGAGGACAGCUAACCUGGAAGUCAGUUUUUGGCUGUGUUUUAUCAUAAACUCUGAGCCCUUGCAUGGUUGUGUGACUUCUUUUCUGGGACAAACUGGCACCAACCACAGUGCAGUGAGAACUUUCCCUAAAAGAUCAGUGCAUGUCCCUAAAAUUUGGAGUUUGGAAACCCAGCCACAUGCCUGAGCUGAAACACAGGAGCACUGAACCAGAUAGCUCAGACACAGACAAGGUGAAGGCAGGGUUCUGAUGGAAGCCUGGAACACAAGAGUAGAGAUUGUUCACACUUAAUGUGAGGGCUUGCUGAAAAGAGAUAUGUGUGAACUCCCCUUUCCUGGGACAAGAAAGUGAGGUGGCACCAUUUUCACCCACCCAUCAGCACAGACAGAUUUCAGUGAGCAACACAGCACUCCCAGUGGAGGCUGAAGCUGCUUACAUCAAGCUCUGCCCCACUGUGCCCUGCAGGUGCACCUCUACUACGGCAAGUCAGCCUGAGAACCAGUGCAGCAGGCCCCUCCCCCAGAAGACCAGCACAAGCCCCUCACCCUCCAUAUGCACCAAGUCUACUGACCAUAGAGUGAUGCAAGGCUUUAGCUCUAGGGGGAACAGGAUCUUGGCUUUUCUAACAAGCAGACCAAAACCAACUGGUUAAAACUUGCCACAUCAGGAUAAGGUCCAAACACUCCCCACUGCAGGUAAGAAGAAACUCUGCAGAGGACUGAUCUGAGGGGAAAAAGCAGCCAAGACACUACAGCAGGGUGCACACAGCAUACACCAAAAAAACUUCCUGAAGUGCCAGGCCCUGGACAGUAUAUAACCUCUUCUUAAUAUAGCCAUUAUAUUCAGAAGCAGGAAACGUAACGGUCUUUCCUAACAAUAGAAGACAGAGAUCUAGGCAAAUGCUAAGAUGGGAAAGUUCAUCCCAAAAGAAAGAACAAGAAGAGGUCGCCCCAGGGAUCUAACCAAAACAGAUGUAAGUAAUAUGCCUGAACUAGAAUUUAAAACAACAAUCAUAAGGAUACUACCUCAGCUUGAGAAAAGUAUAGAAGACACUAGGGAUUCCCUUAUUGCAGAGAUGAAAGAAUUAAAACCAGUCAAGCUAAAAUAAAAAAUGUUUUAACUGAGAUGCAAAACUGAUCAGUGUAAUGACAACAAGGAUGGAAGAGGCUAAGGAAAGAAUAAGUGAUAUAGAAGAUGAAAUUAGGGAAAAUAAUGAAGUUGAAAAGAAG